rnacentral:sRNA from 1 species
AGAACAUGUUGAAAGUCACUGGAAGGUGUGUCCGAUGUGCAGCGAGCAGUUCCCUCCUGACUACGACCAGCAGGUGUUUGAAAGGGUUGCUGAAUGCUUCCCCUGAAAAAAGGUGGCUGUUUUCAAAAUCAGCAACUGCUGGUGAGGAUUUCUUGGCACAGUUAUGACCAGCAUGUUAUUGCUGCAUCUUCCUGAUAAUCUCAGCCGACACCGGGGGAUGGAAAUUGAUUGUGUGGUGCCGCAGGCCCUGAGCUGUCUUGUAACUCUUCCCACAGCGACAUUUGAAUGGUUUGCGGACACGAAUCUGUGUUCUGUGACCAUUCUUAGCGUGAUACUUUAUGCCAUUCACAUUCUGUGGAGAAGACAAAAAUAUUUAUUAGAUGGAUUCACAGAAUGCCUGUCAAACUUCGGAAACCUCAGUUUGGGUCUGGAUGGCAGUCCUGGAUGGCAGCUGUUUAGAGUGUAGUCUUUUGCAAGGACUCCAUUUGGGACCCUUCAAGGACAUUCUGGUGUGUCGAUCAUGGGC